rnacentral:rRNA from 1 species
GAUCAUGGCUCAGGAUGAACGCUGGCGGCGUGCCUAACACAUGCAAGUCGAACGGACUUUUCAUGAAGCCUAGCGAUUGAAAAGUUAGUGGCGGACGGGUGAGUAACGCGUGGGUAACCUGCCUUGUACUGGGGGACAACAGUUGGAAACGACUGCUAAUACCGCAUAAGCGCACAGCUUCGUAUGAAGCGGUGUGAAAAACUCCGGUGGUACAAGAUGGACCCGCGUCUGAUUAGCUGGUUGGUG